rnacentral:rRNA from 1 species
GACAGAGGAUGCAAGCGUUAUCCGGAAUGAUUGGGCGUAAAGCGUCUGUAGGUGGCUUUUUAAGUCCGCCGUCAAAUCCCAGGGCUCAACCCUGGACAGGCGGUGGAAACUACCAAGCUGGAGUACGGUAGGGGCAGAGGGAAUUUCCGGUGGAGCGGUGAAAUGCGUAGAGAUCUCCAAGAACACCAGUUGCGAAGGCGGCUGACUGGACCCAUAUUGACGCUGAGGCUCGAAAGCAUGGGGAGCAAACAGGG